CGAAAUGCGAUAAUUAAUGUGAAUUGCAGAAUUCAGUGAAUCAUCGAGUCUUUGAACGCACAUUGCGCCCCCUGGUAUUCCGGGGGGCAUGCCUGUCCGAGCGUCAUUGCUGCCCUCAAGCACGGCUUGUGUGUUGGGCUUCCGUCCCUGGCAACGGGGGCGGGCCCAAAAGGCAGUGGCGGCACCAUGUCUGGUCCUCGAGCGUAUGGGGCUUUGUCACCCGCUCCCGUAGGUCCAGCUGGCAGCUAGCCUCGCAACCAAUCUUUUUAACCAGGUUGACCUCGGAUCAGGUAGGGAUACCCGCUGAACUUAAGC
rnacentral:misc_RNA from 1 species